UUCACAUGAGCGCCAAUUGAAUUAGUCAUACAUGAUUCAGUACAGCACAAAAGUUCCCGUCAGACUAUUUCCAUACCAUAAUAAAAGUCAGCUGCUAUGCAAAAUGCCGCUGUAUUCGGUACAUUAGUUACUAGAGUUAUGUGAUGACACCUAAAAAUGCUUUCUUCUGAUAAGGUAACGACGAGAGGCAAGUGUGGAAGUUUGUGAGGUCACCGCAGACAGGAAACGCUUCCCAUCAGGACCCUCAAACUUGACCCUGGUUGUGUAAUGCUACAACUGCUGCCUUUAAGGACCCCCAAACUUGACCAUGGUUGUGUAAUGCUACAACUGCUGCCUUUAAGGAAAUGUACAUUAGGACCCCCAAACUUGACCCUGGUUGUGUA